GUGAGGAAUUUUCCGCAAUGGGCGAAAGCCUGACGGAGCAAUGCCGCGUGAAGGAUGAAGGCCUAUGGGUUGUAAACUUCUUUUCUUAGAGAAGAAUAUUGACGGUAUCUGAGGAAUAAGCAUCGGCUAACUCUGUGCCAGCAGCCGAGGUAAGACAGAGGAUGAAAGCGUUAUCCGGAAUGAUUGGGCGUAAAGCGUCUGUAGGUGGCUUCAAAAGUCCCCUGUCAAAGAUAAGGGCUUAGCCCUGGGCCGGCAGGAGAAACUCUGGUGCUAGAGUUUGGUAGAGGCAGAGGGAAUUCUCGGUUGAGCGGUGAAAUGCGUAGAGGUCGGGAGGAACACCAAAGACGAAAGCACUCUGCUGGGCCACAACUGACACUGAGUGACGAAAGCGAGAGAAGCAAAAGGGAUUAGAAACCCUUGUAGUCC
rnacentral:rRNA from 1 species